rnacentral:rRNA from 1 species
CACGCCGUAAACGAUGAGUGCUAGGUGUUGGGGGCGUCAGGCCCUCUGUGCCGAAGGUAACCCAAUAAGCACUCCGCCUGGGGAGUACGGCCGCAAGGCUGAAACUCAAAGGAAUUGACGGGGGCCCGCACAAGCGGUGGAGCAUGUGGUUUAAUUCGAAGCAACGCGAAGAACCUUACCAGGGCUUGACAUCCCGCUGACCGGUGCAGAGAUGCGCCUUUCCCUUCGGGGACAGCGGUGACAGGUGG